CUUCGGUUUGGGUGGCGGACGGGUGAGUAACGCGUGGGUAACCUACCUCAUACAGGGGGAUAACAGUUGGAAACGGCUGCUAAUACCGCAUAAGCGCACAGUACCGCAUGGUACCGUGUGAAAAACUCCGGUGGUAUGAGAUGGACCCGCGUCUGAUUAGCUAGUUGGUGGGGUAACGGCCUACCAAGGCGACGAUCAGUAGCCGACCUGAGAGGGUGACCGGCCACAUUGGGACUGAGACACGGCCCAA
rnacentral:rRNA from 1 species